AGGUCCCGUCGUCGCUGCGUGGAGGGGUUCCUUCUCGCUAACCUCUUCGCCCGGAAGUGGCAACAAGACUGCAACAUCCCCUCACGCCUAGUCUGUAAAGAACUUUGUUUAACCCGGAGGCGGGGCCAGCCAGCUCCGCCCCUCCAGCUGGACGCGGGAGCGAGGUUGAGGUUCAUACCCCUGGGUUCUCUCCAGGCCUGAGGCGGAGAGCCAGCCGCCUGCCUACCUCUGGGCUUUGAACCCCGGGUCUGGUGACUUCGCUUAAAGACCUCGGGCCGAAGGCCCGCCAGGCUCAACCUCGGUUCACAGGACCCCCGACUUGUGUGAGUCGUACACCGCUCUUUACCGUCUCUGGACCUAGGUCAUCUCGGCAGUAAAAUGGGGUGAAAUGACCCGACCUCCCCGGAGGAUGCCGCGCACGAUGUGUGCCUCAAGUUGGCUUCCACUGACCUGAACUGUUAAGAAAGCCCUCCUCAGUGACGCCUUCCCUGAAUCCACAGUGGAGAUUGCCGUUUUCCUGGAACUAAUUCACCCACACUUACCCAUUUCAUCCCUUUCCACCUUUUAUUUCUACCUUUCUGCCCCACUGAUCUCUAGAAUAGGUGCUGGGAGACGUUAGAGUAUUUGAUCUCCCACUCCCCAGUCAUCCCACUUACCGAGCAGUAAUUCUCUGCCUGGCUGCACAUUGCAAUCACUUGGGAAGCCUCUAAAAAUACUGAUGCCAGGGCUCUACCCCAAGCCAGUUAAAAUCUCCAGCGCUGGACCUGGGCAUUGGUACUUUUUGUAAAGCUUUCAGGUCAAGGAAGAGCAAGACUGAAAAUGUUUACCAGAUUUAUAAUCGAGGAGGUCCUGGAUGACCUUGGCAAAAGCAACCCCAAUGGCAUGGGAAUGAAUGUUUACCAAGAUGAUGCCAGUAUAGCUAGUGAGAUGCAGCACCCCAUCCUCAGCCCCCUCGCCUCUGGAAGAGACACCAGACUGCAAAGGGCACCGCGUACAGAAGCUAACGGAACUUGAAUGACAAGACAAAAAGAGCAGAAUCAGUUAGUGUGACACAACAUUCUAACAUGCCUGAUUCUUACAUCAAAUAUGGUAACUUUGGGGUUGGUAGGGGGAGACAAACAAGGAGAAUCCACUUGGGAACAAUUUGAUGAAGUUUGCAAAUCAGCACUUUACCCCCAAAUUAACAACAGCUUGUAUGGAAAAAAAAAUGCUCUUUUAAAAGUAUAUGGUUUGGACAGGUAUAUUUGUUUUCUCUUGUAGUUUUUGUAAAAAAGUAUCAAAACCUUGGCUUUAAA
rnacentral:lncRNA from 1 species